UACGUAGGGGGGCAAGCGUUGUCCGGAUUUAUUGGGCGUAAAGAGCGUGUAGGCGGCUUGGUAGGUCCGCUGUGAAAACUCGAGGCUCAACCUCGAGAUGUCGGCGGAAACCACUUGGCUAGAGUCCGGAAGAGGAGAGUGGAAUUCCCCGGUGUAGCGGUGAAAUGCGCAGAUAUCGGGAAGAACACCUAUGGCGAAGGCAGCUCUCUGGGACGGUACUGACGCUGAGACGCGAAAGCGUGGGGAGCAAACAGG
rnacentral:rRNA from 1 species